UAUGACAGUUACUCAUCUUCAUA
rnacentral:siRNA from 1 species